UGGACAGGGGGGUCUCUGCCCCACCCGGCAGGGCCUGUCCAGUGAGGUUGCGCGAGAGCGUGGCCAGUGGUUGUCGCUCGGGGGUGAUCGCCG
rfam:Streptomyces decoyicus strain NRRL 2666 P029contig6.1, whole genome shotgun sequence.